rnacentral:rRNA from 1 species
CGUGCCUAAUACAUGCAAGUCCGAACGCUUCUUUCCUCCCGAGUGCUUGCACUCAAUUGGAAAGAGGAGUGGCGGACGGGUGAGUAACACGUGGGUAACCUACCCAUCAGAGGGGGAUAACACUUGGAAACAGGUGCUAAUACCGCAUAACAGUUUAUGCCGCAUGGCAUAAGAGUGAAAGGCGCUUUCGGGUGUCGCUGAUGGAUGGACCCGCGGUGCAUUAGCUAGUUGGUGAGGUAACGGCUCACCAAGGCCACGAUGCAUAGCCGACCUGAGAGGGUGAUCGGCCACACUGGGACUGAGACACGGCCCAGACUCCUACGGGAGGCAGCAGUAGGGAAUCUUCGGCAAUGGACGAAAGUCUGACCGAGCAACGCCGCGUGAGUGAAGAAGGUUUUCGGAUCGUAAAACUCUGUUGUUAGAGAAGAACAAGGACGUUAGUAACUGAACGUCCCCUGACGGUAUCUAACCAGAAAGCCACGGCUAACUACGUGCCAGCAGCCGCGGUAAUACGUAGGUGGCAAGCGUUGUCCGGAUUUAUUGGGCGUAAAGCGAGCGCAGGCGGUUUCUUAAGUCUGAUGUGAAAGCCCCCGGCUCAACCGGGGAGGGUCAUUGGAAACUGGGAGACUUGAGUGCAGAAGAGGAGAGUGGAAUUCCAUGUGUAGCGGUGAAAUGCGUAGAUAUAUGGAGGAACACCAGUG